UUUCCUGCUUAUUUGAGGCCUUCUAAAGAUAAGAAGCUUUUUUUCUUUUGUUUCUGUUGCAUUUUGGCUUAUCUUCUUUUGCUGUAGCUAAAGACUUGGCUAUCUUGAUGUUAUUGCAGUACUUUCCAUCAUAUUAUAGUGCACCUGUGGCUGAAUUGCUUUACUUCUCCAGCUGUCUCUAUAAUCCCACUGAUGACUGUGUCUUUUCUGCUGUAGCAGCAUAACCUUGGAAAGGCACUGCUGAACCCACACUGUUGGGGUCCUGCUGCCCAUCUGCACCUGCUGUGUGUCCAGGAAAAUGCUCUGAAGGCCAGAAGGGAAGUGGCUUUGCAUCCUCUCAUCUCUUUCAUAUUGGUAAGCUACUCAGAGAAAGAUUCAUGACAUUUGAAGAAGCUGUCCUCAACAGGAGAGCACUUCUCCAUCUGAUCACAGCACAAGAGAAGGAACCCCGAGACAACGUCUAGUGAAUCCAGAAUACACACACACACACCAGAAUAAAAAUCUGAUCAGUGCUACAGGGACUACUGGAUGUUCUUCACAAUCACAACUACCCUAGGAAAGGCACGAGUUCUGUGGGGUAACAGUCUAAGUACUCACAUUAGAAGCAAAUUUGAGUAUGCUCAUUUUGAGACCAAAGCAAAAUGUUCAAACUCUGAUUCCCAGUUCCUUAGACUCCAUCCUUUGGUCUAUGCUGAACUUUCUGCACCAAAUCAAAAUGACUUCUGGUAAGCAACAUUCAUGACUACUUUGUCUUCUUUCCACUUCAUUGCUCAUCACUCAAAAGGUUGUUUCCACUUACCUUUUUCCUUAAUGCAUUGCACAAGCACUAAGUGCCUGCAGCCCAAAGGCUGAGAAUUGGCUAAGGCCAUGGAAGGAACUGGGAACAUCAAAGAGAGUUUAGAACAGCAAAGCCCUGAAAACGUUCUCUACCUCCCACCACUUUCACCCGAAAGACACACUUCCUACUCUGCUGGAAUGCAAAGAGCUGUCUGUGCAGACAUACCGCCUAACUUCGGGUGUGUUGUGUCAGAAGGAAAUGUCUUCAGCCAAGAGUGGUAUUUGUGAGCAUUCUUUAUUCUUAGACUGUGUUAGCCUCUUAGGAGGGCUGUUUCCUAUGUCUAGGGAAAAAAAAAAAGCCAUAAAUCAAUUAAAACAAACACAAAACAAAAACAACACAGGAGAACGCAGGAGAAUAAGGUUGUUAGGGAGUUUCUUUAAGGAGAAAGGAAUCUAUCAGCUGCUCCCAGAAGAGCUGUGUUCUCUUAGCAAUGGGCAUCUAACCAUGCAGCUUUAAGUCAUGUUUCAAUAAGGGAGGUUUUCAUUGGCUUUUGCUCCAACAUGUAGUAUCCUGGUCUGUAGGGAAAGCUGAUGUUUUCUGUAUUUUGAAAACUGGAUUUCUUGUCUACAUCAUGUUGAAUUGUGAAGAUAGAACUCCUGAGGUCCCUAGUCAGUGACCACAGUCAAUUUCUGGGAACUGUGUGGAAAGACUCAGCAGUCAGUUUUGCCUUCAAAGCAGACAGCCAAGGAUGAUUUAGUCCAUUACUGCCAUAAGCAAACAGUCAUCUCUAGGAUCUUCCAAAAGUCGUCCUCCCAUGUACCUAUUCACUCACCAUUCCUAAUUUAGUUCAUGAAAGAUUAAUUCCUUAAUUGUGAUGUUUAUUAAUUAUCUGGUUUUCCA